CAGCAAUCGAGUCAUUUGCUGUAGAGCAGCUGGAGACAAAUGUUGCACCCCCAGAAGUGACGGAGCUGACUGGUCCUGACGUCAUGGAAGAGAAAUGCGCAUCGGCUGCCAUAUGUUUUGUUGCUUUCCUGCCUGACAUUCUGGAUACAAAAGCCGAAGGAAGGAACAAAUACCUCGCGCAAUUGUUAUCAGUUGCCGAGAAGUUCAGAAGAAGUCCCUACAGCUACGUUUGGGCAGCUGCCGGCAAGCAACCCGAUCUUGAAAAGCGUG
rnacentral:misc_RNA from 1 species